AGAGGGUGGGCCUUAACGCUAGGUUUCGCAUUUCUUAAAAUUAUGUUGGCCAUUACCGUGUUAUUCAGUGCGUCCAUAGCGCGGUACAUCCCUGGAGCGGGGGUGACGGGCUGGUCGCUAUCGUUAACACAAAACAUGUGUUUUGCCGUUUGCCAAAUGGCAACAUCGAGGAAAUUCCGUCAGGUCACUAAUUUCUGAAAUUCUAAGGAACCCUGUAGAAUACGACUUUAUGAUACCCGAGCUUAAAGCAAAAAAGUAGACAAUAGCUGAUUUUUAAAAUGACCUUUAUGUGCCGCAUACUGGCUGCAGACCGGCCUACUGAACUCACAAAGAAGAAAAACUAACGGUUUACGAAUGAUUUUAUGAAUAUUUGGCCGUAUCAUAAAGUGGUCUCCUUGCUGUCUUAACAAUUGAUCUCUAUAUUUUAGAAGGCUUUACAUCUACCAAUUAAACGUACUGUUUUAUGGACUGAUUCGACCAUCGUACUACAUUGGCUGAUGAUAUCUCUUCAAACCGAGUAGCUGAAAUCUAAGCAAAUACAAAUGCAGCAGAUUGGCGAUAUGAGUGAGUCUCUCUAUGACUCAUUACUCAUAAACUCAGUUCAUCCAGAAAAUCCGUGUCCACCUUCCGAAUCAAGAGACAAAAACCAUACGGCCGCAAUGGAGUGAGUAACCAUUCCCUCCGUUGGACACCUCUAAUCGUAACAAAUUGGUGACAGCGAUGGGAUACGAUUCGAUCCCUGUGGCAAACUAACAGCAAGUUUACGCAUUGCAGAGCACUAGAUUGUUCAGAGAGAGGUUGCACGUGUUACGCGACGGUCCCACGCUGCGAUGCAUUCCAAAGAUGUCGUCAAGUGCGAGAGAACGCUUUCCGGACCACCGACUCACUCUCAGUUGCAAGAUAAGCGCACCGCAUUCUUGAAUGCGCCGACUCCCACGCUAGCAUUCCCCCACCACUCGCCAUGGUGUUUGCGCGUGGCGCGACAACGACGACUCACUCAUUCAAUCGUGCUUCGUGUUGGAGUAAGGACGCACAGUGGAAUCAACCCCUUAAUCUUUGAAUUGACAGUAGUAAUUGAGCACCAAUUCGCCGAACAAUCUGUUGUUGUAGGAGCGAUUAAAAUUGCUGUAAAAUAUUUAGUAGUUUAUUACUUUGGACGUUGUGUGUGACGUUUAUCCUGCGAUUCGACUGGAAUUUUGGCGCAUAAUUGCAGCCGAUUGCAGACGUUCGACAGGAUGAAGACAGAAACCAAACCGCGUAAGCGCAAGCGCGGUUGCCGCGCCGGAAGGAAAGUGAGAGAACGAAAGCUACGGGCCAUGGAACAAACACUUUUGGAACAGACACGUGGGCCCACUGUCAUUACGAUAGAUUCGGAUCAAGAGCGCGCGACGGCUCAACCAGAAGUGAAACUACCCUAUGACAUCCUGAAUAAGGAUAAAAUAAUUUAAAAAAAAAAAAUACGCCGACUUCGAAAUUAAACGUUUACUGAAGUAUUUUUA